CUAGAACAAACAGUCCUAAAAUUUGUAUGGAACCACAAAAGACCCCAAAGAGCCAAAGCAAUCUUGAAAAAGCAAAGCAAAGCUGGAGGCAUCACAAUUGUGGACUUCAAGUUGUAGUACAGAACUGUAAGUUGUUGUCACCAAGACA